rnacentral:rRNA from 1 species
UACGUAGGGUGCAAGCGUUGUCCGGAAUUAUUGGGCGUGAAGAGCUUGUAGGCGGUUUGUCGCGUCUGCUGUGAAAAUCCGGGGCUCAACCCCGGACUUGCAGUGGGUACGGGCAGACUAGAGUGUGGUAGGGGAGACUGGAAUUCCUGGUGUAGCGGUGAAAUGCGCAGAUAUCAGGAGGAACACCGAUGGCGAAGGCAGGUCUCUGGGCCACUACUGACGCUGAGAAGCGAAAGCAUGGGGAGCGAACAGG